rnacentral:lncRNA from 1 species
CAGCUGGACUCAGUUUAGAUGAGCCCAAUUUUGUUGGCAACAUCCAAAGCAUCAUAGUCAGGAGCCAGUCGAACAUAUGCUUUCUUUUCUUCAUCGGACCCGAUCAGAGUGUUGACCUUGGCCACUUGGUCAAUGUCCUAGAGCUUCUUCACAGCCUGUUUGAUCUGGUGCUUGUUGGCCUUGACAUACACAAUGAACACAAAAGUGUUGUUGUCUUCUAUUUUCUUUGUGGCUGACUCGAUAGUCCGGGGAAACUUGAUGAUGGCAUAGUGGUCAAGCUUGUUUCUCCUGGGGGCACUCUUUCGAGGAUAUCUGGGCUGCCUUCGGAGAUGCAGUGUCUUGGGCCAUUGGAAUGUAGGUGACAUGCAGAUCUUUUUUUUUUUUUUUAUGACUGUGGAUGCCUUUCAGCACUGCUUUCUUGGCCUUCAAAGCCUUUGCUUUGGCUUCAGCUUAGGGAGGGGCAGGGGCUUCCUUCUUUGCCUUUGACACCAUCUUCGUGAAAGGGCUCC